rnacentral:sRNA from 1 species
GCUGGGCGUGGUGGCACAUGCCUGUAAUCCUAGUGGCCUGGGAGGCUGAGGCAGGAGGAUUUCUAGUUAAAAGCCAGCCUCAGCAAAAGCAAGGUGCUAAAGCAACUCAGUGAGACCCUGUCUCUA